AACAAUAUUAACUGAAAUGUUCAUAAAGUCAUCAAGUUUAUAUACCUCCUUUUAAAAAUAUUAUUUGAGAGGUGGGAGAAUCAUUUGAGCCCAGGAGUUCAAGACCAUCCUGGGCAACAUAGCAAGGCCCCAUCUCUAAAUUAAAAAAAAUAAAAAUUAAAAUGUCAUUUGAUCCUGGAAGUCUCACACAUUAUAAAGGAAAUAUUUAAAUAAGGCUCUUUAGGUUACUUGAAACACUCUUUGGCUUGGCUUAGCUUGGCUGAAAUGAACAUUGUAUUAUGUUGAAGAGUACUUUGUUCUGCUAAUAUAUAAUAUUAUAUAUGUACUACUGCUUUAUGAAUUAAUUGUUUCAUGGAUGUUGGCUUAUAUCCGCAACUAGGUUAAAAAUAGCAGUGGGCAGGAGCUGUGUCUUAUAUUCCUUUUGUAUUCUCCAUGGUAUCGAACAUAAUGUGAAAAUAAGGCUGCAUUUGGAAAGAAGAGGAAAAACACAAGACCAGUGAGAGAGAAAGCACCAGAGAAUGAAAAUCUGAAAGGAGACUAGGGAUGCUUCAGCCUAGAAGAACAAUCUAGGGCUGGACUUAAAGGUCUGAGGUCUGAAGACCCUGCAACAUGUCCCCUUCCAAAAGAAGCUGUUACAGGUCUGGGUCUCAGCUCCUGAGGACCGUCUCCCAGAUUUCUGAGGCACCAGCAUUAUCAGAGCAACAGUCGCUCCUCAGAGGUCUGAAUUCCCGUCUGUAGCGACCCACUCUCCAAGCCUAGUCUUGCUCUCGUUGCUCAGGCUGGAGUGCAGUGGUGCAAUCUCAACUCACUGCAACCUCUGCCUCCCGGGUUCAAGUGAUUCUCCUGCCUCAGCCUCCUGAGUAGCUGGGAUUACAGGUACCCACCACCACACCUGGCUAAUUUUUGUACUUUUUAGUAGAGAUGGGGUCUUGCCAUGUUAACCAGGCUGGUCUCUAACUCCUGACCUCAGGUGAUCUGCCCACCUUGGCCUCCCAAAGUGUGCCUGACCUUAAUUAAUUUAUUUUUAAAAACUCUUUUCAAAACUCAAGAUCACUAAAUUCUCCUAUUGUAGAAAUGUUAUAGUUUUGGCUCGUAUAUUUAAGGAUUCAUUUUGAGUUAAAUUUAGUGGAUAUUGUGAGAUAAAGAUUCAGGUUUUGUGGUUUUUUUUUUUUUUUUUUUUUGGAACUGACACUCCAGUUGUUUCAGAACCAUUUCUUUGAAUGAUUAUCUCUUUUUUUUUUUUUUGAGAUGGAGUUUCAUUCUUGUUACCCAGGCUGGAGCGCAAUGGUGAGAUCUCGGCUCACCGCAACCUCCACCUCCUGGGUUCAAGCAAUUCUCCCGCCUCAGCCUCCUGAGUAGCUGGGAUUACAGGCACGCGCCACCAUGCCCAGCUAAUUUUUUUUGUAUUUUUAGUAGAGACGAGGUUUCACCAUGUUGACCAGGAUGGUCUCGAUCUCUUGGCCUCAUG
rnacentral:lncRNA from 1 species